AUUGAACGCUGGCGGCAUGCCUUACACAUGCAAGUCGAACGGCAGCACGGGAGCAAUCCUGGUGGCGAGUGGCGAACGGGUGAGUAAUACAUCGGAACGUGCCCAGUAGUGGGGGAUAACCCGGCGAAAGCCGGACUAAUACCGCAUACGACCUACGGGUGAAAGCGGGGGAUCGCAAGACCUCGCGCUAUCGGAGCGGCCGAUGUCAGAUUAGCUAGUUGGUGGGGUAAAGGCCUACCAAGGCGACGAUCUGUAGCUGGUCUGAGAGGACGACCAGCCACACUGGGACUGAGACACGGCCCAGACUCCUACGGGAGGCAGCAGUGGGGAAUUUUGGACAGUGGGCGCAAGCCUGAUCCAGCCAUGCCGCGUGCGGGAAGAAGGCCUUCGGGUUGUAAACCGCUUUUGUCAGGGAAGAAACGCUCCGGGCUAAUACCACGGAGUAAUGACGGUACCUGAAGAAUAAGCACCGGCUAACUACGUG
rnacentral:rRNA from 1 species